GAGUUUGAUCUUGGCUCAGAUUGAACGCUGGCGGCAUGCCUUACACAUGCAAGUCGAACGGCAGCAUGAUCUAGCUUGCUAGAUUGAUGGCGAGUGGCGAACGGGUGAGUAAUACAUCGGAACGUGCCCUGUAGUGGGGAUAACUAGUCGAAAGAUUAGCUAAUACCGCAUACGACCUGAGGGUGAAAGUGGGGGACCGCAAGGCCUCAUGCUAUAGGAGCGGCCGAUGUCUGAUUAGCUAGUUGGUGGGUAAAGGCCCACCAAGGCGACGAUCAGUAGCUGGUCUGAGAGGACGAUCAGCCACACUGGGACUGAGACACGGCCCAGACUCCUACGGGAGGCAGCAGUGGGGAAUUUGGACAAUGGGCGAAAGCCUGAUCCAGCAAUGCCGCGUGUGUGAAGAAGGCCUCGG
rnacentral:rRNA from 1 species